rnacentral:rRNA from 1 species
GACGAACGCUGGCGGCGUGCCUAAUACAUGCAAGUUGAGCGAUGAAGAUUGGUGCUUGCACCAAUUUGAAGAGCAGCGAACGGGUGAGUAACGCGUGGGGAAUCUGCCUUUGAGCGGGGGACAACAUUUGGAAACGAAUGCUAAUACCGCAUAACAACUUUAAACAUAAGUUUUAAGUUUGAAAGAUGCAAUUGCAUCACUCAAAGAUGAUCCCGCGUUGUAUUAGCUAGUUGGUGAGGUAAAGGCUCACCAAGGCGAUGAUACAUAGCCGACCUGAGAGGGUGAUCGGCCACAUUGGGACUGAGACACGGCCCAAACUCCUACGGGAGGCAGCAGUGGGGAAUCUUCGGCAAUGGACGAAAGUCUGACCGAGCAACGCCGCGUGAGUGAAGAAGGGUUUCGGAUCGUAAAACUCUGUUGGUAGAGAAGAACGUUGGUGAGAGUGGAAAGCUCAUCAAGUGACGGUAACUACCCAGAAAGGGACGGCUAACUACGUG